GACGAACGCUGGCGGCGUGCUUAACACAUGCAAGUCGAACGGAAAGGCCCUGCUUUUGUGGGGUGCUCGAGUGGCGAACGGGUGAGUAACACGUGAGUAACCUGCCCUUGACUUUGGGAUAACUUCAGGAAACUGGGGCUAAUACCGGAUAGGAGCUCCUGAUGCAUGGUGGGGGUUGGAAAGUUUCGGCGGUUGGGGAUGGACUCGCGGCUUAUCAGCUUGUUGGUGGGGUAGUGGCUUACCAAGGCUUUGACGGGUAGCCGGCCUGAGAGGGUGACCGGCCACAUUGGGACUGAGAUACGGCCCAGACUCCUACGGGAGGCAGCAGUGGGGAAUAUUGCACAAUGGGCGGAAGCCUGAUGCAGCAACGCCGCGUGCGUGAUGACGGCCUUCGGGUUGUAAACCGCUUUCGCCUGUGACGAAGCGUGAGUGACGGUAAUGGGUAAAGAAGCACCGGCUAACUACGUG
rnacentral:rRNA from 1 species